rnacentral:rRNA from 1 species
GUCUUUUUGUUAAAAAUUUAAAGUCGGGCCUGCCCACUGAAAAUUUAAAUGGCCGUGGUAUUUUGACCAUGCUAAGGUAGCAUAAUCAUUAGUUUUUUAAUUGAAAGCUGGAAUGAAAGGUUUGAUAAAAAAAUGACUGUCUCUAUUUAAUUUUAUUAAAAAUUUAUUUUUAAGUUCAAAAGCUUAAUUUUAAUUAAAAGACGAGAAGACCCUAUAGAGUUUAAUAAUUUAAGAUAAUUUAUAUUUUAGAAUUAAUUUAUUUAUUUUUUAAUAUUAUUUAAUUGGGGUGAUUAAAAAAUUUAAUUAACUUUUUUUAUAUUUCACCAUUAAUUUAUGAUAAUUUGAUCCAAUUUUUUUGAUUAUAAGAUAAAAUUACCUUAGGGAUAACAGCGUAAUUUUUUUAUAAAGUUCAAAUUAAAAGAAAAGAUUGCGACCUCGAUGUUGGAUUAAAAUUAAAUUUUGGUGUAGAAGCUAAAAAUUUUAAGUCUGUUCGACUUUUAAAAUUUUACA